rnacentral:rRNA from 1 species
GACGAACCGUGCGAACGUUGUUCGGAAUCACUGGGUUUAAAGGGCGCGUAGGCGGCCGUGCACGUCUGGGGUGAAAUCCUCCCGCCUAACGGGAGAACGGCCUCGGAUCCGGUACGGCUCGAGGGGGGCAGGGGCUUGCGGAACAUCCGGUGGAGCGGUGAAAUGCGUUGAGAUCGGAUGGAACUCCGGUGGCGAAGGCGGCAAGCUGGACCCCAACUGACGCUGAGGCGCGAAAGCCAGGGGAGCAAACGGG